rnacentral:rRNA from 1 species
UGGGGAAUAUUGGACAAUGGGCGAAAGCCUGAUCCAGCCAUGCCGCGUGUGUGAAGAAGGCCUUUUGGUUGUAAAGCACUUUAAGCGAGGAGGAGGCUACUUAGAUUAAUACUCUAGGAUAGUGGACGUUACUCGCAGAAUAAGCACCGGCUAACUCUGUGCCAGCAGCCGCGGUAAUACAGAGGGUGCGAGCGUUAAUCGGAUUUACUGGGCGUAAAGCGUGCGUAGGCGGCUUCUUAAGUCGGAUGUGAAAUCCCUGAGCUUAACUUAGGAAUUGCAUUCGAUACUGGGAAGCUAGAGUAUGGGAGAGGAUGGUAGAAUUCCAGGUGUAGCGGUGAAAUGCGUAGAGAUCUGUAGGAAUACCGAUGACGAAGGCAGCCAUCUGGCCUAAUACUGACGCUGAGGUACGAAAGCAUGGGGAGCAAACAGG